UACGUAGGUGGCGAGCGUUGUCCGGAAUUACUGGGUGUAAAGCGCGUGUAGGCGGCAGGCCAAGUCGGUGGUGAAAGCGCCCGGCUCAACUGGGCGAGGUCCAUGGAAACUGGUCAGCUGGAGGACGGUAGAGGCGAGUGGAAUUCCCGGUGUAGUGGUGAAAUGCGUAGAGAUCGGGAGGAACACCUGUGGCGAAGGCGGGUCGUCUGGGCCGAGUACUGACGCUGAGGAGCGAAAGCGUGGGGAGCGAACAGG
rnacentral:rRNA from 1 species